rnacentral:rRNA from 1 species
ACGCUCGACACCUACGGGGGCAGCAGUGGGGAAUAUUGCACAAUGGGGGAAACCCUGAUGCAGCGACGCCGCGUGGAGGAAGAAGGUCUUCGGAUUGUAAACUCCUGUUGUUGGGAAAAAAGAGGAUGGUACCCAACAAGGAAGUGACGGCUAACUACGUGCCAGCAGCCGCGGUAAUCUGAGCGGGCUGGCAAGGC